CUACGGGGGGCUGCCGUGAGGAAUAUUGCACAAUGGGGGGAACCCUGAUGCAGCAACGCCGCGUGGAGGAUGACGCAUUACGGUGUGUAAACUCCUUUUAUAUGUCAAGAAAAUGACGGUAGCAUAUGAAUAAGCACCGGCUAACUCCGUGCCAGCAGCCGCGGUAAUACGGAGGGUGCAAGCGUUACUCGGAAUCACUGGGCGUAAAGGACGCGUAGGCGGGUUGGAAAGUCAGGUGUGAAAUCCUACAGCUUAACUGUAGAACUGCACUUGAAACUUCUAAUCUAGAGUAUGGGAGGGGGAGAUGGAAUUAGUGGUGUAGGGGUAAAAUCCGUAGAUAUCACUAGGAAUACCUAAAGCGAAGGCGAUCUCCUGGAACAUUACUGACGCUAAGGCGUGAAAGCGUGGGGAGCAAACAGGAUUAGAUACCCGGGUAGUC
rnacentral:rRNA from 1 species